GUAUCCUCCGUCCGGUUCCACUCACCAAAAUAAAUCAACCCAUCCAUACUCAGCCGUGCAAAAGCUACCAUACACACCUCACCUUCAGCGGCGAUGGUGGUGCUCAUGGCGCGGUGCUGCUGCCAGCCUGGCGUUCGUGGGGGUCGCCCCCAAAUACCAGGAUGCUGCUGCUGACCCGGGCCCCUGUGAGCCUGCAAUCCGUUGUCGAAUCAAGCCCGGCAGAUAGUGCUGACCCAAGCCCGCGCCCCGGUGUCGACCAGAGCUCCAGGCGUGCCACACGUGUCACCGUUGUCGUCGUCCUCCGACAUCACCUGUGCCAAAAGCUCUGAUUUGUGUGCGGCAGGAAUCAUUUUUUAGAAGGCAGAUUUGUUAUGUCUCCAGCCGCCUCUUCCGCCCACCAAGUCCGGCGCUGAUUGGAAGGAAUAAGUACGUGCAACUACAAUCCCGCAUCUCUCUCUCUCAUACAUGCACAGACGUGUAGGGCUGUAGCUUCUGUGCUAAAUGAUCAACACAAGAAUUUCUCUGUGCUGGGGCUGGAUGUUGAGGAGAUCAAGCUACUGUUGUAAAUGAGGGUUCAUUGAGAAGCAAACACAACGGCGCAUAUGAUGGCGGAGGAAG